ensembl:misc_RNA
AAACUACUACUAAAGACCUAAGAUGGUGGCAUUCGUAAUGAGGGAAAGUACUGCUGGCAUAUCAGGUCUGGAAAGCAGCCAACAAACAAAUCUGAGGAAAGUACAGAAACUAGCCAACCUUUGUUUUGUGA